rnacentral:misc_RNA from 1 species
CAUGCACACUUGAAAUAGUUCUUUGAAG